AAGACCAAUCUCAGCAUCUCCACAUUAUCAGACAUUUCCACAUUAUCAGAUAUUAUAUUUUCGGCGAACCCCUUCUAUAAGGAUACCCCUUCUAGCUUUAAAACCCCUUCUAGUUUCUCAACCCCUUCUAACCCCUUCUUAAAAACCAACACUAAAUUCACAAAAUAAAACACCAGGAAAAUUCACUAAAUAAAUUCUCCCAAAUCAGAGAUAAACAACUUAAUAGUUCAUAGCAAACACCCAAAUUUAAAAGCCAACACUAAAUUCACAAACUAAAACACCCGCAAAAUUCACUAAAUAAAAACCCUAACAAGAAGAAAAAGAAGAAUUCAAAUCGAAACAGGCAAAAUAAUAAAGAAGAAAUAACCUUGUGUUACGGAAAUGCGUGAAGAAGAAGACGAAGAACACUGUUUGUGGUUGUACUUGAAUGGAAAUGACGAAGACGAAGAAGAGAAGGGGUUAGACUAGAAGGGGUACAUGGGAUAGAAGGGGGAUUUAAAGAGAAAAAUACUACUUCUACUACUUAUUAUUAUAUUAUUACUAUUUUUUUUUUUUGACAAACAUAUUAUUACUAUAUUAAAGUUUAUUACUCGUAGUUUCUCUAAA
rnacentral:lncRNA from 1 species